UCACGUGUCUGCAGGUUUCCAUAUGUUUCCAGCGUCCAGAGAUGCUGUCACCACUGAGUGCCUCAUAAAACCCCAAGAUCCCUGGCAAGAAUCCUCCUUUGGAUUUCCUGGUCUGAUGAACAGCUGUACUUCAUUGCAGUUUGCAGACAAACUUAGCCUGGAACUGAAAUUGCUGUCUUAGAUAUUCAGAGACUUGGGACUCAGCAGGAUCUUGACACUGCACUAUUUAUAAAAGAGUAACUGUGGAUAGAUUUCAUAAUAUAAGAGCUUAUAUGGGAGAGGAACCAAAGCAAGGUAUGUGUGUGUGUGGUGCUCCCUGGAUCCCAGAAAAACGUCUGGUUUGAGCUGCUUUUUCAGGAACUCAGCUGGCCUUGCACGUCUUGAAAGUGGAG